rnacentral:rRNA from 1 species
GUCCUCAUGGCCCUUAUAGGUGGGGCUACACACGUCAUACAAUGGCGUGUACAAGGGCUGCGAACUUGCGAAAGUCAGCAAAUCCCAGAAAGCCGGUCCUAGUCCGGAUUGGAGUCUGCAACUCGACUCCAUGAAGUCGGAAUCGCUAGUAAUCGCGAAUCAGAAUGUCGCGGUGAAUACGUUCCCGGGCCUU